ensembl:snoRNA SNORA70 Small nucleolar RNA SNORA70
CUGCAGCCAAUAAGCCAACUGUCCUCCCCCUUGUGGGGGCUACUGUGCAAUGGCUGCGAACAGGGAGCCGCCUCAGUAGCAUACGCAGUCUGUUAGUGUGGAUGGGCUGCCCAAAUGGACCUUGGAGACAACU